rnacentral:rRNA from 1 species
AGUGAACGCUGGCGGUAGGCCUAACACAUGCAAGUCGAACGGCAGCACAUUAAGAGCUUGCUCUUACGGGUGGCGAGUGGCGGACGGGUGAGGAAUACAUCGGAAUCUACUUUUUCGUGGGGGAUAACGUAGGGAAACUUACGCUAAUACCGCAUACGACCUACGGGUGAAAGCAGGGGAUCUUCGGACCUUGCUCGAUUGAAUGAGCCGAUGUCGGAUUAGCUAGUUGGCGGGGUAAAGGCCCACCAAGGCGACGAUCCGUAGCUGGUCUGAGAGGAUGAUCAGCCACACUGGAACUGAGACACGGUCCAGACUCCUACGGGAGGCAGCAGUGGGGAAUAUUGGACAAUGGGCGCAAGCCUGAUCCAGCCAUACCGCGUGGGUGAAGAAGGCCUUCGGGUUGUAAAGCCCUUUUGUUGGGAAAGAAAAGCAGCAGGUUAAUACCCCGCUGUUCUGACGGUACCCAAAGAAUAGGCACCGGCUAACUUCGUG